CAUGGCUCAGAACGAACGCUGGCGGCAGGCCUAACACAUGCAAGUCGAGCGAGACCUUCGGGUCUAGCGGCGGACGGGUUAGUAACGCGUGGGAACGUGCCCUUCUCUGCGGAAUAGCCACUGGAAACGGUGAGUAAUACCGCAUACGCCCUUCGGGGGAAAGAUUUAUCGGAGAAGGAUCGGCCCGCGUUAGAUUAGAUAGUUGGUGGGGUAACGGCCUACCAAGUCUACGAUCUAUAGCUGGUUUUAGAGGAUGAUCAGCAACACUGGGACUGAGACACGGCCCAGACUCCUACGGGAGGCAGCAGUGGGGAAUCUUAGACAAUGGGCGCAAGCCUGAUCUAGCCAUGCCGCGUGUGUGAUGAAGGUCUUAGGAUCGUAAAGCACUUUCGCCAGGGAUGAUAAUGACAGUACCUGGUAAAGAAACCCCGGCUAACUCCGUGCCAGCAGCCGCGGUAAUACGGAGGGGGUUAGCGUUGUUCGGAAUUACUGGGCGUAAAGCGUACGUAGGCGGAUCAGAAAGUUGGGGGUGAAAUCCCGGGGCUCAACCCCGGAACUGCCUCCAAAACUCCUGGUCUUGAGUUCGAGAGAGGUGAGUGGAAUUCCAAGUGUAGAGGUGAAAUUCGUAGAUAUUUGGAGGAACACCAGUGGCGAAGGCGGCUCACUGGCUCGAUACUGACGCUGA
rnacentral:rRNA from 1 species